rnacentral:rRNA from 1 species
AGAUUGAACGCUGGCGGCAUGCCUUACACAUGCAAGUCGAACGGCAGCACGGGAGCAAUCCUGGUGGCGAGUGGCGAACGGGUGAGUAAUACAUCGGAACGUGCCCAGUUGUGGGGGAUAGCCCGGCGAAAGCCGGAUUAAUACCGCAUACGACCUACGGGUGAAAGCGGGGGAUCGCAAGACCUCGCGCUAUUGGAGCGGCCGAUGUCGGAUUAGCUUGUUGGUAGGUAAAAGCCUACCAAGGCUACGAUCCGUAGCUGGUCUGAGAGGACGACCAGCCACACUGGGACUGAGACACGGCCCAGACUCCUACGGGAGCAGCAGUGGGGAAUAUUGGACAAUGGGCGAAAGCCUGAUCCAGCCAUGCCGCGUGUGUGAAGAAGGUCUUCGGAUUGUAAAGCUAACGUUUAAGGUU